UACAGAGGGUGCAAUCGUUAAUCGGAAUUACUGGGCGUAAAGCGCGCGUAGGCCGUCGAGUAAGUCGGAUGUGAAAUCCCCGGGCUUAACCUGGGAAUUGCAUUCGAUACUGCUUGACUAGAGUGUGGAAGAGGGAAGCGGAAUUUCCGGUGUAGCGGUGAAAUGCGUAGAUAUCGGAAGGAACACCAGUGGCGAAGGCGGCUUCCUGGUCCAACACUGACGCUGAGGCGCGAAAGCGUGGGGAGAGAACAGG
rnacentral:rRNA from 1 species